rnacentral:rRNA from 1 species
AUGAAGCAUUGUCGAACCGCCGACGUCGGCGGUGCUUCAUUGCAACCUCACCGGAGCUUCCAACGACCGCCGCGACGCUUCACUGCAACCUCGUCGGAGCUUCACUGCAACCUCGCCGGAGCUCCAACAACCGCCGUGGCGCUUCAUUGCAACCUCGCCGGAGCUUCAUUGCAACCUCAGUGCUCCAUGGUAGCACCCCGACGGCCGCCGGCGAAGCUUCAUUGCAGCGUCACCACCACCACGCGGUCGUGCUCCAUCGCAGCACCGCUGCCCGCCUGCUCUGUCAAAGCUCCACCGCAGCACCAGACGGGUGCUGGCGAAGCUUCAGUGCAGCGCAACGCGAUGGCGUCGAGGUGCUGCGGCGAAUCAGGCGACCACGAUGGCGGAUGUUGUGACACAACAGUGCGGCGAGCCGGCGACGGCGAUGCUGCGAUGCAGACGCGGUGGCGACAGAGCUCUCGAGGCCCGAUGUUGUGA